rnacentral:RNase_P_RNA from 1 species
CCAGUCGGCCGGGCAGCCGCGCUUCACCAAUGCCGAAAGGCGGUGAGGUGAGGAAAGUCCGGGCUCCACGGAAACACGGUGCCGGAUAACGUCCGGCGGGGGCGACCCCAGGGAAAGUGCCACAGAGAGAAGACCGCGCCGACGUGCCCGUCAGGGGCACAUUCGCGGCGUAAGGGUGAAAGGGUGGGGUAAGAGCCCACCGCGGACCUGGCAACAGGAACGGCAUGGUAAACCCCACCGGGAGCAAGACCGAAUAGGGACGACACGGGCCGCGCAAGCGUGUCCAGGCCUGUUUCCGGGCUCGUCGUCCGGGUGGGUUGCGAGAGGCGCCGCGCAAGCGGUGUCCCAGAUGAAUGGCUGCCACGUUCCGGCGUCCCGCAAGGGCCUCCGGAGCCAUACAGAACCCGGCUUACAGGCCGACUGGCAAA